rnacentral:tRNA from 1 species
AGGAAUGUGGCUUAGUGGUAGAGCGCUUGCCUAGUAUGCAUGAAGCACUGGGUUCAAUUCCUCAGUCCCA